UACGUAGGCAGCAAGCGUUGUUCGGAGUUACUGGGCGUAAAGGGUGCGUAGGCGGUCCUAUAAGUAUGGUGUGAAAUCUCCCGGCUUAACUGGGAGGGUGCGCUAUAGACUGUGGGACUAGAGUGUGGGAGAGGAAAGUGGAAUUCCUGGUGUAGCGGUGAAAUGCGCAGAUAUCAGGAGGAACACCGAUGGCGAAGGCAGGUCUCUGGGCAUUAACUGACGCUGAGGAGCGAAAGCAUGGGAGCGACAGG
rnacentral:rRNA from 1 species